rnacentral:lncRNA from 1 species
AUGCCCAAAAAUUCCAACCGGAAUUCCCAACAUCCCAACCCAAAAACCCCAAAAUUCCAAGAAUUCCCAUGGAAAAUUCCAACCCAAAAAUUCCAACCCAAAAUUCCCAAAAUUCCAAGAAUUCCCAUGGAAAAUUCCAAUCAGAAUUCCCACAACUUCAGUGUGGAAAUCCCAAAAAUUCCAAGCCCAAAAUCCCAAAAAUUCCUAUGGAAAAUUUCCAGCCAGGACCUGCAGAAUUCCCUAAAAUUCCAGCUUGGAAAUCUCAAAAAUUCCAACCCAAAAUUCCCAAAAUUCCAACCCAGAAUUCCCAAAAAUUCCAGCUUGGAAUUCCCAAAAUUCCAACCCAAAAACCCCAAAAUUCCAAGAAUUCCCAUGGAACAGUCCAACCCAAAAAUUCCCAAAAUUUCACUUUGGAAAUCCCAAAAUUCCAACCCAAAAUUCCCAAAAUUCCAACCCAGAAAUCCCAAAAUUCAAAAAGUUCCCAUGGAAAAUUCCAACCCAGAAUUCCCAAAAUUCCAACCCAAAAAUUCCCAAAAAUUCCAAGCCCAAAAUCCCAAAAAUUCCAAGAAUUGCCAUGGAAAAUUCCAACCCAAAAAUUCCAAGCCCAAAAAUCCCAAAAAUUCCAAGAAUUCCCAUGGAAAAUUCCAACCCAAAAAUUCCCAAAAUUCCAGCUUGGAAAUCCCAAAAAUUCCAGCACAGAAUUCCCAAAAUUUCAGUUUGAAAUUCCCAAAAAUUCCAACCCAGAAUUCCCUAAAAUUCCAGCCUGGAAAUCCCAAAAUUCCAACCAAAAAAUUCCCAAAAAAUCCCAAAAAAUCCCCCAAAAAUUCCAAAAAAAUUCCCAAAAAAUUCCCUAAAAAUUCCCAAAAAAAUCUCAAAAAAUUGCCAAAAAAUCUCCAAAAAAUUCCCAAUAUUUCCC